rnacentral:rRNA from 1 species
GAGAGUUAAACAGUACGUGAAAUUGUUGAAAGGGAAACGAUUGAAGUCAGUCAUACUAACGGGAAAUCAACCUCUUGAGUUUGGUCUCGUGGGUUUCGAAGAGUUUAAAAGCCUUCGGAUUUUCGAGAUUGGGCUCUUCUGGUGUACUUUCUCGUACGGUUAGUCAACAUCGGUUUUGAAUGUCAUAAAAUGACUGAAGGAAUGUGGCUUCGAUCUUGUAUUGAAGUGUUAUAACCUUUGGUAGAUGUGAUGUUUGAGACCGAGGAUUGCAACGGAUACCCUUCUGGGCUAUUCGUCUGAUCUCUGAAACGUUGCCUUGAUGUCGAAAGCUUGCUUAUGAUGUUAGGGUAUUACGGUCAAAAGGUUAGAACGGAUUAAAUUCGUUAAGGAUGUUGACGUAAUGACUUUAAACGA